rnacentral:misc_RNA from 1 species
AAAUCGCGAAAUGUAGUGUGAAUUGCAGAACCUCAGUGAAUCAUCGAAUCUUUGAACGCACCUUGCGCUCCGUGGCAGUCCGCGGAGCAUGCCUGUCUGAGUGUCGCGCCCCUCUCAACCGCGCCCCCCUUUUCUGUGAAGAGGGCCGCUGCGGCUUGGAUCCUGGCCUCGGUCGACCCGCCCGCGGUCGAAGGCCGAAAUGCGACUACCAGCGCCUCGCCCUUUGCGGCUUGACCGGGACCGAUUGUACACUUGCCCUUCGGACCGGGACGCGAAGCGUGAGCGAGGGCUUCGAACACGCUAGUGACUUCGACCUCAGAUCAGGUAGGACGACCCGCUGAACUUAAGC